AUUUUUUAAGAGGGGUGCAAUUGCUGAGAAAAUACCCUAUAACUUGACCUAGAUAAUGCUAGCGGAAGGACAAUAUAAAAAAUGCUG
rnacentral:ncRNA from 1 species